rnacentral:rRNA from 1 species
AUUGAACGCUGGCGGCAUGCCUAACACACGCAAGUCGAGCGGUAGCACAGAGAAGCUUGCUUCUUGGGUGACGAGCGGCGGACGGGUGAGUAACGCGUGGGAAUCUACCUGGUAGUGGGGGACAACAGUCGGAAACGACUGCUAAUACCGCAUACGCCCUUCGGGGAAGUGGGGAGUCUUCGGACCUCACGCUAUCAGAUGAGCCCGCGUCGGAUUAGCUUGUUGGUGAGGUAAAGGCUCACCAAGGCGAUGAUCCGUAGCCGGUCUGAGAGGAUGACCAGCCACACUGGGACUGAGACACGGCCCAGACUCCUACGGGAGGCAGCAGUGGGGAACAUUGGACAAUGGGGGCAACCCUGAUCCAGCCAUGCCGCGUGUGUGAAGAAGGGCCUUCGGGUUGUAAAGCAC